UGUGUGAUCUGUGUUGGAUUUUAACACACCGAAGAAUACUUUUCACUUCAAAACAGUUUGCAUUAAAGGAUCAUGGUAGACAAUUUAAUGCUUUCUUUGAGACUUUUCAGUUCCUUGGCAGUGCUGGGAUUUCAGAUUGUCAUCCCACAACCUUCAAUCGAACACAGAAAGGUGCCCCAGAGGAUAGAGGAGCAACAAGAUGCAUCUGAAGAUGGCGGU